rnacentral:rRNA from 1 species
CUUAGCCCUAAACCCAGACAUUUAAUAUACAAAAAUGUCCGCCAGAGAACUACGAGCAAGACGCUUAAAACUUAAAGGACUUGGCGGUACCUCAAACCCCCCUAGAGGAGCCUGUUCUAUAAUCGAUAAUCCACGAUACACCCUACCAUCUCUUGCCAAUCCCGCCUAUAUACCGCCGUCGCCAGUUUACCCCAUGAGGGAUUUAAAAGUAAGCAAAAUAGCUAAAAAGCUAGUAAGUCAGGUCAAGGUGUAGCUAACUGAGAUGGGUGAAAUGGGCUACAUUUUCUACAUUAGAAAUAUUUACGGAAGGAAGCUAUGAAACUAGUUCCACAAGUAGGAUUUAGCAGUAAACCUGGAUUAGAAUGCCUAGUUU